GUGCAGUACGCAGGUCCACGGAGCAGAGGUGAGGUGGCGUCAGCUCUGCCUGGAGGAGCUGAGAAAGGCUUCGCAGGAGGAGGCGUCUUUGAACUGGGUCCUGGAGGCUGAGGGGGAAUCCAGGCAAAGGAGAUGCCGGUUCGAGCCCUGGUCCGGGAAGAUCCCACAUGCCGCGGAGCAACUAAGCCCCUGCGCCACAACUACUGAGCCUGCGCUCUAGAGCCCUCGAGCCACAACUAGUGAAGCCCGCGUGCCUAGAGCCUAUGCUCUGCAACAAGGGACGCCACCACAAUGAGAAGCCCGCGCACUGCAAUGAAGAGUAGACCCCGCUCACCGCAACUAGAGAAAGCCCGCGAGCAGCAACGAAGACCCAACGCAGCCAAAAAAAAAAAAAAAAACAAGGUUGCUGGAAAACUGCAGCUGCUGGGGCUCAAGAGAGUGAAAGCACAGAGCCAUUUCUGCAUGUUUCUGCCUCCUCCUGUUCUAAGCUGGUUCAUGGACUUCCCUGGUGGUGCAGUGGUUAAGAAUCCGCCUGCCAACAAGAGAGGCCGCAAUAGUGAGGCCCGCGCACCGUGAUGAAGAGUGGGCCCCGCUUGCCGCAACUAGAGAAAGCCCUCGCACAGAAACGAAGA